AGCGAACGCUGGCGGCAGGCUUAACACAUGCAAGUCGAGCGGGCACCUUUCGGGGUGUCAGCGGCGGACGGGUGAGUAACGCGUGGGAACGUGCCCUCUGGUUCGGAAUAACUCAGGGAAACUUGAGCUAAUACCGGAUACGCCCUUUUGGGGAAAGGCUUGCUGCCGGAGGAUCGACCCGCGUCUGAUUAGCUAGUUGGUGAGGUAACGGCUCACCAAGGCGACGAUCAGUAGCUGGUCUGAGAGGAUGAUCAGCCACACUGGGACUGAGACACGGCCCAGACUCCUACGGGAGGCAGCAGUGGGGAAUAUUGGACAAUGGGCGCAAGCCUGAUCCAGCCAUGCCGCGUGAGUGAUGAAGGCCUUAGGGUUGUAAAGCUCUUUUAUCCGGGACGAUAAUGACGGUACCGGAGGAAUAAGCCCCGGCUAACUUCGUG
rnacentral:rRNA from 1 species